UUCAAGGAAUAUGAAAGUGAUGUAGCCUCAUAGCUUUGCUUCCCUGCAUGGGCACCUCCUCUUCUUCUUCUUCUUCUUCUUCUUCUUCGCGUCGUCAACAUCUCUUCUUAGUUGCAGUCUUAUUCCUCUUCUUGGUAGUCUAGCUAGUUGCACAUACAUAUUGAUCAUUACUGCAUGGAAGUACUGUAGUAUGUAGCCUUCUGAUAGUCGAGCACAAGGUGUUUCCAUGUACUGCAAGUAGCUGAGGAAGUUCUGCCAUUCGAAGUUUUUUCGACACAGAGUACUCAAAGCUCGUGGAAGAUGAAGAUGGGAGCUCCAUGCCGAGUUCUUGUUCUUGGCUGACUUGAAGUAGAUGUUCAGCUUCUUCUGAGUACAUGGCUUUCUUUGAAGCAUCAUGGCUUAGUUGGGAUGCAACAAACUUAUCGAGAACCCUCCAAUCCGUCACUUGAUCAAAAGCUUGGCUAAUGUUCUUGUUAUUAUUGUUGUUAUUGAUGUUGUUGUCGUCGAUCUUGAUUGCCUCAAGUUGAUGUCUAGGUUGCCCAAUUGCUUCA